rnacentral:lncRNA from 1 species
AUUGUAAUGGGAUCUGAAUUGGCUUCACUUUAAUUUUUUGUAUAAUUUGAUUGUUUGUUGGUGAUAUUUGGAGUUAGCAGGAAUGGUUUAAAACUAUUUGUUUGAUUUUCUUACCAUUGAGAAUGUACUUCUUGAGAUGAUAAUUAUGUUGAAUGGUUUAGUACUCAUUUAUUUUUAAACUGUUGACUCAUACAUAUAGAUUGCCUACACGUUUGAAUAAUUUAUAAUCAAUCAAAUAUAAAUUAUUUAAAAUUUUUUGAAAAGAUAUAUCAUUAAUAUUUUUAAUUUUUUUCUAAUUCUUUGCCCGUCGCAUCGCACUGGUUACAACACCAGUAUACAUUAUUUCUCAUAAACUUUUGCUACGUGGCAGCAUCAUAAUCUCUCAUUCUCAAAAUUUCUACUCUUCAAUCAUUGCGACCGCUCUCCUUCCUCAUAACGUCUGCCUCUUUGGCUUUUCAUCUCAUUAAUUUCUUUCCUGUAACGUCUGCCUCUUCAGUUUCCCGUCUUAUUAAUUCCUUCCCCGUAACGUAUGCCUCUUCGGCUUCCUGUCUCAUUAAAUCCUUCUUUGUAAUGUCGUUGU